GACGUAGGGCGCGAGCGUUGUCCGGAUUUAUUGGGCGUAAAGAGCUCGUAGGCGGUGUGUCACGUCGGCCGUGAAAACCUGCAGCUUAACUGUGGGCGUGCGGUCGAUACGGGCAUCACUGGAGUUCGGCAGGGGAGACUGGAAUUCCUGGUGUAGCGGUGAAAUGCGCAGAUAUCAGGAGGAACACCGAUGGCGAAGGCAAGUCCCUGGGCGAUUUCUGACGCUGAGGCACGAAAGCUAGGGGAGCAAACAGG
rnacentral:rRNA from 1 species